GCGUCGCGUGCCCUAUAUCCCGUGGGCCCAGAUCUCGCCGCCGACCCAAUCCGGAGCCAAAUUUGGAUCCUUGAUUUAAGCGCGUUCGACUAACCCAACAGACAGAGGCAGAGAGCAACCAAAUUUCGGCCCGAUCGAUCCCAGCCUAGAUUCCCUAGCCCGGCCGGUGGGGAGCGAAUCCGGCAAAGCGACGGCGAGGGGAGCAGGGGUGGAGGAGCCAUGAAGCGCUGCUGCCUGCGGCUACAUAAGCCGCGCAGCUCCGUUUCGUUCUGUCGGGGAGAAGGAGGAUGGCGCGGCAGCGGGGGCGCGUGGUGCUGCGGCGGAUCGAGGAUCGGAGGCGGCGGGGGAUCUGCUUUAGGAAGCGGCGGGCGGGGCUGGUUAAGAAGGCGGAGGAGCUCGCCAUGCUCUGCGACGCCGACGUCGGCCUCCUCGUCAUCAGCCCCUUCGACGGCACCUUCCAACGCUUCGCCGCGCCCGCGACUAUGGAGAAUAUCAUCAAACGUUAUCAGAAUUUCCCAGAAGCACAAAAAAGAGCACAAGAAAGGAGCAUUUUUAAAGAGAGAACAAGCAAGGAUUUUCAAGUUCCCAUAGUAACAACAGAUAGAAGGCCAAACAUUCAUGACAUGUCAAUUGAUGAAUCAAGCAUAUCCCAGUUGACCAUCGAGCAGCUUAGCCAAAUUGAAAGGACAUUAGAGUAUGCACUAAGGAGUGCAAAGACCAGGAAGUUGGAAGCGUAUAGGAUCGCCACACUACAGGAGAAGGGGAAAGCAACGGUUGAGGAGAGGGAUUUGAUGGAGAUGGUCUCGAGGCAGGAGCAGAAGCAGGAGGGAGGAAGGUAUGUAACUAGAAGCCAGCAAAGCAGCAGGGAGGUGGAUUUGACGCUCAGCCUCGGCAUCGGCAUUGGCUGCAACGUUGGUUGCCCGCGCAGGCACCAAACGCCAAUUGACCUCAACAUGCCGUGACAGGGACAUUUUCGGCCGGCUCAUGAGUUUCAUAGUUGGAAUGACGUUGCAUGUGAACCACCAACAGAUUCUCCAGAAUUUGCCGCAAACAUGUUGAGUUGGCUAUCAUAAUUGCUACACAGGGAUCUGCCGAAAUAAUCACAAGGGCUGGCUGAGUUUGUGGGACACUGUAGCUCCGGGAAAAGUUAAAACACACACAUUGAGAUGGAUCCGAAAUGGGCUGGCGGUCGGCUCAGAAGUUCACAGGCGAAGAAUUAAGGCUGGAGUCUUCUGUGUUGCUUGUGGUCGAGAAGAAACAAAAUAUCAUCGGUUUUGGGACUGUCAUCAUUCAGCAAAAUUCUGGAAGGUAAUGCGCUCGGAAUUGGGAGUUCUCCACCGGUUUCAGUUAGCUCCCAGGGUGAUCUUUCUAGAUGGCUGCUGUCGUGGUUGGCGAAUGCCUCUGACGGCGAACGAGCUACCAUGGUUCAGGGCCUCUAUGGGGCUAUGGUCGGUAAGAUACAGCGCACGGGAUGGAAGGAGGAUCGAAGAGGCGUCAGAUACUGCUCGAUCAGUGGUGAAGGUGAUGGAGGAAUGACAGUCGGUUCCUGGCCGCAAGAGCAAGAUUGUGAAGCCUGUACCAAUGCAGAAAUGGGAGCAACGACCAAGAUGGGAAAGAAGGGUGGCAUGGGAGUGGUGUUCAGAAAUCACGAGGGUGCCUUCCUGGGAGGGGCAUGCCUCUUCUUUCCUCAGUCUAUGGAGCCAGCAAAGAUCAUAGCUGACGAAGUGACUGCUACUAGACUGCAUAUUGAGAUGGAUUGCAAAGAUAUCGUCAGCAAGCUUCAGAACAAGGAGCGUGACGUGCCGAUGCUGGGGCCAAUGAUCGAGGAGGUGAAACAGCUUCUGGAGACACGCCAAGAGUGCAGGGGGAUUGGGUUAGGCGCACAGUUGGUUCAGCUAAGGAAGGGGUAAUGAAUAAUUUGUGCAAGGUUUGCUUGAAUGAACCACCUGAAUGUAUUCUGCACAUUAUUUCGAUGGUAAACAUGGUUUUUGCUUGUA